rnacentral:tRNA from 1 species
GACCGCGUGGCUCAGUUGAUAGAGCAUUGGGUUAGUAUCCAAAGGUCGUAGGUUCGAUUCCCACCGUGGCCG